ACAUAGUCUGAAAUUGAUACUCUAUAUAUACAAAUAUGUGCAGUAUAAGGCAAAAGACAUUCUAGAUUGGAGCGAUGUGUAUAGCAGGUGUGAAGUUGUUGCAAUGGAGUGGUUUAGUCGAAGAGAUCCCAACUUCCAAUGUUUUGUUCUCACCACUUACAACUUCUUAUGGUUCUGUCUAUAAGCAACAAGAUCGGAUGAGGAGAUGGAAGACACAGUUAAGAAUCUUGCAGUUCUGUCUUUGAUUGACCCUGAUCUGUUGUGCUACUGUUCAUCACCUGUUGCUGCCUUUGGUCACUCUUUCAUCCUUGGAAUCCAAUCAGAACUGCUCCUGCCAAAUCAUCAUGGAGUUGGGGGGCUUGAUAUUUUAUAUCCAAGUGAUGGUACCCAUUGACGGUGUGAUAACGGUUACUGGAUAACUUCUAAAGCUGCUACUCAGGAUCAAGCUGCUCUCAUCUUGAGUGUGCCCAAGCAGAAAUCUGGAGAUGAAACCUAAGAAACGCCAAGGACAUCUGCAUUUCUAAUUAUCUAUACUAAGCAGAUCUUCGGCUAGGGAAACCAUUGCGAGAGUUGCAGCUGGAUCUCUUGCCAAGAAGAUUUUAAAGUUGUAUUGUGGAUCUGAGGCGUAAUUUUUGGCAUGAUCUUUUAUGAACUGAUUUAUUUUCGCUCCAUGCUUGCUAUACAAGGAAACAGACUCACCGAAUAAACUAUAACUAUAUGCCCAGACUUAAUGUUGGAAGUAGCAGCUGAUCUUGGUCGACAAGUAGCUGGCCGGCUCCCUUGCUCAAUACUGUUGCAGGUGUACACCCUUCUGCAAGUCCACACUCUUCUUCUAGUCCACGUUCAAGGAAUGAAUCUUUUUCAGUUGUCUCUUUGUCUUUAUGAA